ensembl:lncRNA
GACGGCCCCUACAUAAUCAUGUCGGGGGGGUUAUUCAGAUAAUUCACAGUGAGAUUACCAUGAGCUCAUUAAAGUGCACGAACCCUCUGUUGGGCUUUUUACUGCAUGAAAACAAUUGAUUACUUAAAAAACGGUCCCACCCUUUCCUAAAAGCACACGAGUGUGUAUAUAGGCUGCUACCAACAGCUCACAUACACCCUGAAUAGGAAGCACAUCUCUCUGACGGACACAAUCUUUUUUUUGAAGGAGGAUAUCGCUUGCUGGACUUACAGAAGUGCAACAAGAUCGGUCAUUGUUAUCUGUGGAGAAACAUGGGAAACGAGAACUCCAAGAACAAAGAACUGCAGAACAGGAACGGCAGGAUUCCUGAGAAGCAUAUAAAUGGAUCAGCGAACGGCCUCUCUGCGAACCUCUCAUCUAACGGCUUGGAGAUUUCUGCUAACGGUGAGGCCGCAGUCCAGAAGAAUGGCGAGUCCUCUUCUUUAAAGCGUGCGACUGAACCAAAUGAUUUUGUCGUUGUGGAAUUAGACGGUAAAGCUGCUGACGCUCCAGUUAUUUCUGAAAUCCUUGAAAUCGUCAUCCACAAGGAAGAGGUCAGGGAAAGUGAAGGAGAUCAAACGGAUGUUAGUCUCCCUGCCACCAAUCUACAGACGGAGACAGCUAAGCAAAAGCAAGGGUCAGAAUCAUUGACGGAGCCAGAGAGUGUGACUCUAGACUCUGACGAGGGAAACCAGGAGGACAAUAACCCAGAAGAGAAUCCAGUUAUGAACUUCUUCAAAUCUCUAACGACUUCCAAAAUAACCAAAAAGGAAACAGCUGCUCCUGUUGCCAUAAAAGACCAGGUCGCACAAGUAUCUGAGCCGCCUGCAGCGCCCAAAGGAAUGUCUAUCCCACCGCCACCUCCUCCAGAGCCACCAAAAAUGGAUAUCAAGGCAGAACCAGCUGCUAAACCUGUCAAGGCCACACCAAGAGAAGAAGCAAAAGCUGUUGCCAAGCAACCCCAGUCCUCCAAAGGAAAAUCAGCAACUCUAAGCAAAUUUUUCCGUUCAAAGAAGGUGGAUUCUUCAAAAGCUGGCACUUUGGAGGCUGCAGCGAAACCAGAACCGCCGCCGCCUGUGCAGGAAGCACAGAAAACUGCCUCAACAUCCUCCUUCUUUUCUCUCUUCAAGCCUAAAGUCCUAUUAGACCACAUGACCACAAAAGUCCAGGCGGCCUCCACAAGUGGAGUUCGUCUCCUCGGGAGAACAACUGGAGUGGCCGCUGAUCCCAAAAAGGCGAGUCCUGCCCCGGCUGCAGCCCCAGAGACAGUGAAAGCCAAGGAGGAACCCAAAGCAGCAGCCAAGUUAUCCGAGGCCGUGGUAGAUAAUAAACCUGCUUCAGUGGCCUCCCAGGCCGCAGGUGAUGCAGCCAAGGCGCCAAAGAAACUGGAGAAGAGGAACUCCAUCCAUCAGUUCUUUAAAAUUCUGGGCCAGAAGCGUAACUCGACAGAUGCCGGGAUCCAGACAGAGACGCUCGCUGUCGCUCCGGUACCCGAGAAGGUCAAAUGAAACCAAAAGCGAGAGUGAAGUUUCCCUGUACAGACUCCUUCUCUUUUUCUUGCCCUUACUCGGUUUUCAUGUGCCUCAUCUGUCUCAUUAUUCUUUAAACUCUUAUAGAAUUGCUUUAACUACAUUUUGAUUUUGUUAUUGUUCAUAAGUUACAAUACGCACGGAAUAGUGAGCGGAAAGGCAAAGGCAAGUAGUGAGAAAGACACACAGCAGGUAGUUGCACAAGUGGUGAUUUGAAAUGGUCCAUGGUGAGGUUGUUGAGAUAUUUACAGUAUAUACAGUACAUAUUGUGUUUGGACCCUGUGCCUUGACAAGUAUAGCAAAAUCAGUGUGAAAUCUUUUCUACAGACAUUUAAUGUAACUUCUCUCUGUUCUUGCACAUGAAACAGAAGGUAAAAGGCAUCGCUUUUAGCUUUGUGUUUGUCAAAAAAAAACAUUUAAAAAAGGUUCUAUUUUUUACAGUUCACACAAAAGAAAAUCACGCAGCUGUGGCCGUGCAGAGGUUCCCACGAAAUUGCAUCGCACUUAAAUCCAUAUGUGAUAUAUUAACAUUAACAGCUCUGAAAAGAGCAAAUAAGAAGAGCAUCUUAGUGUAACAAGAAGCACUUAGCAGUCAAGUAUCUGUAUCGAGGGUGAUGGGGAACUGGCUAUAUGCGUAAAAAAAUGCAUCUGAGAGAUGUGUCUUUGUGCUACGUUUUUACUAAUGACUCACAGUUGAUUAGUUUUACAUUUGAACUUUGUCUCAUGUAACUCAGUGGAAGUCUUGUAGCGUCAGUCAGCAAUUAACAUCACGCUUUUGGUGGCCUUGCUUGAUGUAUGCAUGUGUGUGCGUGUGUGUAACUUCAGCUAUCCUGAAGACAAUAAACCUGUUUAUCAUUCGUUGUAUCUUCAUGUGUGUACGCGGCAACUGAGAAACCCCGUGAAGAAUAACCGGCUGUUGCAUUCGGCAUCUGCCAAAAUAUGCACCUCAGUAAGUUUGGCAAAAAAAAAUAAAAAAUCACACAUCAAAUCUUAUAAUAAAUAUUUUAAUUCACACUAAACUAAACUCAUAAGGCGUGACACAUGAGUCCUACCUUGGGCGUCGGUGGAAAUACUGCCAGCCUUACUCACCCAUGGGUUUAUUUUGUUGGCUGAAAAACAAGUGACGGUGAUGACGGGCAGGGCCGUACAAACCAAAACUCACCUCAGAGCCGCCCGCCGUCCGCCCGCCCGCCUGAUGGACGGAGAGCCGUCUGCGGUCCGUCACUACCAAAUAUUACAUUCAGAGACACCUUAGAGAUAAAAAGAUGUUAAACGAGAUCUAAGGAAUUGUUUCAGGUAAAGCAAAGCCUCCCAUACUCUAUUUUCAUUUAUGAGGUAAUUCCAAUGAUGGAGGAUGUGUUUUAAAUAGUAUUAUGUCAUGAGUCGCGGCCCCCUUAAAGGCAUAACUCACGCUGCACCUUUAUUAUCAACGAAACGCACUCUUUUUGCGUUACCCUCUGUGAUGGUUGUGAUCAUUUUAAAUUGUGCAUCAAAGUAAUUGACAUGGCACUUAAGGGGAAACAGUGAGGUAUUGCCUGCACAGUUUAAUCCAUGUGGUCAAGUCCUCUCCUCUGGGGAUUGUUAAGAGGAAUAUGUGACUCUUUGCCAACUGUAUUGCUGUACAGUGUGAAGUUCACCACUAACUACCAUUCUCCUAAAAUAAAACACUGGACAGUACCCACAGUGCACCUCACC